CAUUCACACACGCUCCUGUCUGCACAGCCAGAGGAGGAACAUGUUGAGGAGAAGACAAAAAGACUGACAGGCACAAGACUUGUGAAGUUCAACUUUACAGGGUGACAGAGAGAGGAAGACAAAUGAACUUGGGGCAGAGAGCAGGACUAAAAGCGGUUAUUUCAGGGACACACUUUACAGAAGCUCCUGCAGCCUGUUGAUGGAGACAGAGUGUGUGUAAAGCCUUCCUGCUGUUUGAAGGUACUGUGAUAUUAGCCCUGGAAUAUUGUCCUGUUGUGUGGUGUGCCUCUGUGGAGCAGCUCAAUUACAAAGGUCAGAUGUAUAUAUGUCCUUUGAAUGGGAUAGCUGACUUUCUGAAUGUCUGCCAGUGUUUGCAUUUGAUUUAGAGUUCAACAUUCAUUCGAGAGAUUGACUGCUUAAUUGUUUAGCCUCUACCUGUUUUUCUGCCUUCCCUUUCCGUCUGUCUUUAUUUGCCUGUGUGUGUUGUGUGCUUGUUUUUAUGUCAAGCCAAUCUGCGCUCCCCCGGCUGGGUAUUUUGCUGGCAGCACAGAGUGCGAACAGAGGUCAUAAAAAGUUCUCAAAAAGCAGCAGACGGGGCGUCUUGGCAGUGCUAAAGCAGGGCCGGAGCUGCCUCAAACAUUCCUCUCAUUGUUCAGAGGCCCUUCCACCGUCCUGUCUGGUUCCCCUCUUGGGGGUGGUGGUAUAGACUAAAUCGGGUUGUGGACGAUAUGAAAAGAGCUGAAAGAAGUUCACAUGAGGCUGACGCAGCAAGGGCAGAUGAGAUAAGGGUAAGUAUAAAGCACAUUUAGUAAGAUCUGUAAUUCGGUUUUCUACGUGCCUGAUUGUGGCUUAAGAUAACAGGGAAAAGAAGGGAGAGAGAUUUGAGGAGUUCUAAGUUAAAAGUGUGAUCAAUGGCUGAAUGUUUGGAUGGAG